AAUGAAAUAUGUAGUUUGUGUUGCGCAUAUUCAAUGUUUACAUUUUAUUCACCAUUAUUCUGAAGCCACAAUUACUCAUUUCCGGCAUCAGUUUAACACACUUUAUUCAGCUUGAGGGAAACAGUUUUACGAGCUAGGGAUUGUUUUUAUUCGGGAGGGGUGCUCGUUUUGUACCUUGGCUUGUGCUGUUUGCUUGAAAAGAGGGGCGGUCAUCUUUACGCAAUAACCAAAAAAAGAUGUUAACCAUGUAGGCUACUCGCUCAUCGCCGCCGCGGCUGCGACACCCACGCCACUGCGAUCAAUCCCAAUUAAAACUUCAGGUCGACUGGAAAUGGAAAGAGUCGGAAGCCAAACGAGUACGGCGGGAUUUGCUUUCCUCAGCGGCCUUUGGAGGAAAAACACCGGCUGUGUCUUUUUUAAAUUAUUUUUUGGAUGUUGUUGUUUUCAUUUAUUUUCUCGCCGCGCGGUAAUUGAAAUUAAUAUUAUGUGUUUGCAUUAGACGGAGCGGGCGUGUGUCUGUGUGUUGUGAUUGAGAGGGUCAAAUAACAUGUGUGCACACACACACACACACACACACACACA
ensembl:lncRNA